rnacentral:rRNA from 1 species
AUUGAACGCUGGCGGCAGGCCUAACACAUGCAAGUCGAACGCGUGGCGGACGGGUGAGUAAUGUAUGGAAAACUCCCAGAAGGAGGGGGCUAACUACUGGAAACGGUAGCUAAUACCGCAUACCAUCAGAUGUGCCCAGAUGGGAUUAGCUGUUUGGUGGGGUAACGGCUCACCAAGGCGACGAUCCCUAGCUGGUCUGAGAGGAUGAUCAGCCACACUGGGACUGAGACACGGGCCAGACUCCUACGGGAGGCAGCAGUGGGGAAUAUUGCACAAUGGGCGCAAGCCUGAUGCAGCAAUGCCGCGUGUGUGAAGAAGGCCUUCGGGUUGUAAAGUACUUUCAUCGGGGAGGCGGUACCUGAAGAAGAAGCACCGGCUAACUACGUGCCAGCAGCCGCGGUAAUAC